rnacentral:rRNA from 1 species
CCUGGCUCAGAAUGAACGCUGGCGGCAUGGAUUAGGCAUGCAAGUCGAACGGUGAAGCGGGACUUGUCCCGUGGAUCAGUGGCGAAAGGGUGAGUAACACGUGAGCAACCUGCCCCUGUAUCAGGAAUAGCCUCUGGAAACGGAGUUUAAUACCUGAUGUGGAUUGGAAUCGCAUGAUUCUUUAUCUAAAGAUUUAUCGUACAGGGAUGGGCUCGCGUCCCAUUAGCUUGUUGGUGAGGUAACGGCUCACCAAGGCUUUGACGGGUAGGUGGUCUGAGAGGAUGGUCACCCACACUGGGACUGAGACACUGCCCAGACUCCUACGGGAGGCUGCAGUCGAGAAUCUUCCGCAAUGGGCGAAAGCCUGACGGAGCAAUGCCGCGUGAGGGAUGAAGGUCUUCGGAUUGUAAACCUCUGUCAGAGGGGACGAAAUUUGACGGUACCCUCAGAGGAAGCCACGGCUAACUACGUGCCAGCAGCCGCGGUAAUACGUAGAUGGCGAGCGUUAUUCGGAUUUACUGGGCGUAAAGGGUCCGCAGGGGGUUUGCCAAGUCUGAUGUGAAAUCCCGCAGCUCAACUGCGGAACUGCAUUGGAAACUGGCGGACUUGAGUAUGCGAGGGGUGAGCGGAAUUUCAGGUGUAGCGGUGGAAUGCGUAGAUAUCUGAAAGAACACCGAUGGCGAAGGCGGCUCACUGGCGCAAUACUGACCCUCAUGGACGAAAGCGUGGGUAGCGAACAGGAUUAGAUACCCUGGUAGUCCACGCCGUAAACGUUGUAUACUAGAUGUGGGGAGGCCUGGUCCUCUCCGUGUCCAAGCUAACGCGAUAAGUAUACCGCCUGGGGACUACGGCCGCAAGGCUAAAACUCAAAGGAAUUGACGGGGGCCCGCACAAGCGGUGGAGCAUGUGGCUUAAUUCGAGGCAACGCGAAGAACCUUACCCGGAUUUGACAUAUUUAGGAUCGUCCCCGAAACGGGACUUCGCUUCGGGGCAUAUAUACAGGUGCUGCAUGGCUGUCGUCAGCUCGUGUCGUGAGGUGUUCGGUUAAGUCCGGCAACGAGCGCAACCCACGCCACUAGUUGCCAGCGCGUAAUGGCGGGGACUCUGGCGAGACUGCCCGUGCUAAGCGGGAGGAAGGCGUGGACGACGUCAAGUCCGUAUGGCUCUUACAUCCAGGGCUGCACACGUGCUACAAUGGUCGGUACAGUGGGAUGCCACUCCGCGAGGAGGAGCGAAUCUCUAAAACCGGCCCCAGUUCGGAUCGUAGUCUGCAACUCGACUACGUGAAGUCGGAAUCGCUAGUAAAGGUGUAUCAGCAACGACACCUUGAAUACGUUCCCGGGCCUUGUACACACCGCCCG